rnacentral:rRNA from 1 species
GAGUUUGAUCCUGGCUCAGGACGAACGCUGGCGGCGUGCCUAAUACAUGCAAGUCGAGCGGGGUUARUUAGAAGCUUGCUUCUAACUAACCUAGCGGCGGACGGGUGAGUAACACGUAGGCAACCUGCCCACAAGACAGGGAUAACUACCGGAAACGGUAGCUAAUACCCGAUAYAUCCUUUUCCUGCAUGGGAGAAGGAGGAAAGGCGGAGCAAUCUGUCACUUGUGGAUGGGCCUGCGGCGCAUUAGCUAGUUGGUGGGGUAAAGGCCUACCAAGGCGACGAUGCGUAGCCGACCUGAGAGGGUGAUCGGCCACACUGGGACUGAGACACGGCCCAGACUCCUACGGGAGGCAGCAGUAGGGAAUCUUCCGCAAUGGGCGAAAGCCUGACGGAGCAACGCCGCGUGAGUGAUGAAGGUUUUCGGAUCGUAAAGCUCUGUUGCCAGGGAAGAACGUCUUGUAGAGUAACUGCUACAAGAGUGACGGUACCUGAGAAGAAAGCCCCGGCUAACUACGUGCCAGCAGCCGCGGUAAUAC